rnacentral:rRNA from 1 species
AUUGAACGCUGGCGGCAGGCCUAACACAUGCAAGUCGAGCGAGCGGCGGACGGGUGAGUAAUGUCUGGGAAACUGCCUGAUGGAGGGGGAUAACUACUGGAAACGGUAGCUAAUACCGCAUACCAUCAGAUGUGCCCAGAUGGGAUUAGCUAGUAGGUGGGGUAACGGCUCACCUAGGCGACGAUCCCUAGCUGGUCUGAGAGGAUGACCAGCCAAACUGGAACUGCGACACGGUCCAGACGCCUACGGGAGGCAGCAGGGGGGAAUAUUGCACAAUGGGCGCAAGCCUGAUGCAGCCAUGCCGAGGGUGUGAAGAAGGCCUUCGGGUUGUAAAGCACUUUCAGCUGGGAGGCGUUACCCGCAGAAGAAGCACCGGCUAACUCCGUGCCAGCCGCCGCGGUAAUUC